rnacentral:rRNA from 1 species
AUUGAACGCUGGCGGCAUGCUUUACACAUGCAAGUCGAACGGCAGCACGGGUGCUUGCACCUGGUGGCGAGUGGCGGACGGGUGAGUAAUGCAUCGGAACGUGUCCUGAAGUGGGGGAUAACGCAUCGAAAGAUGUGCUAAUACCGCAUAUUCUCUGAGGAGGAAAGUAGGGGAUCGAAAGACCUUAUGCUUUUGGAGCGGCCGAUGUCUGAUUAGCUAGUUGGUAGGGUAAUGGCUUACCAAGGCGACGAUCAGUAGUUGGUCUGAGAGGACGACCAGCCACACUGGGACUGAGACACGGCCCAGACUCCUACGGGAGGCAGCAGUGGGGAAUUUUGGACAAUGGGCGCAAGCCUGAUCCAGCAAUGCCGCGUGAGUGAAGAAGGCCUUCGGGUUGUAAGACUCUUUCAGUUGAGAAGAAAAAGUACGUAGACUAAUAAUACAUGAUUCACGACGGUAU